UCUGCAAGUCUGUGCUCCUAGAAGUUUCCUGCAUGGAAAAGAUGGUUGCAGCUUUAAAUUCUUUAUUUUGCGAGGGCAGAAGAACCUACAAAUUGGUAUGGCUACUUACCAUUUGCUCAGGAGAUGUGAUGUCCUUUGAACCUUGAUAUGGGUCAUCAUUCAAAGCAAAUGAAGCUAGAAUUGAUAAUCCAUUGAAGACCUGCUGAUAAUGCUCCCCUAAUCGGAGCAAUAAUUCAUUAUGCAAUCCCUGAAAAUCCUGUCUCAGCAAACUUCCCAGUUCUAUCUCUGUUUCAUUCUAUAAAACACCAUGGAAAAAACGUAUUGGCUUGAAAAUUAUACAAGCAUGUGCACAACAUAAAAAUAUUACAGUACAAUUCCCAUUACUGCAAAUACAGGUGAGCCACUAAUUUGCUAAAUGAAAACUAAAGGGGGAAAUAAAUGUUUAUAAUAUCCUUCAA